rfam:Danio rerio chromosome 4, GRCz11 reference primary assembly.
GCAUUGGUGGUUCAGUGGUAGCAUUCUCGCCUCCCACGCAGGAGACCCGGGUCCGAUUCCCGGCCAAUGCA